ACUCAAUAGAUACCCUGGUAGUCCUGGCAGUAAACGGUGCACGUUUGGUGUGGGGGGAAUCGACCCCUUCCGCGCCGGAGCUAAACGCGUUAAAAACGUAGCCGCCUGGGAAGUACGGUCGCAAGAUUAAAACUACAAAGAAAUUAGACGGGGACCCGGCACAAGCGGUGGAGUAUGUGGCUUAAUUACGAUGCAACGCGAAGAACCUUAACCUGGUCUUGACAUGCACUGUGUCUCCAAUGAAAGUUGGAUAGGGUAGCAAUACCCGCUCUGCACAGGUGCUGCAUGGCUGUCGUCAGCUCGUGUCGUGAGAUGUUGGG
rnacentral:rRNA from 1 species